CCUACGAGUGGCAGCAGUGGGGAAUAUUGCACAAUGGGGGAAACCCUGAUGCAGCGACGCCGCGUGAGCGAGGAAGUAUUUCGGUAUGUAAAGCUCUAUCAGCAGGGACGAAACAAGACGGUACCUGACUAAGAAGCCCCGGCUAACUACGUGCCAGCAGCCGCGGUAAUACGUAGGGGGCAAGCGUUAUCCGGAUUUACUGGGUGUAAAUGGAGCGUAGGCGGUAAGGCAAGCCAGAAGUGAAAGGGCAGGGAUCAACCCUGUACAUGCUUUUGGAACUGUGGUGCCAGAGUGCAGGAGAGGGAAGUGGAAUUCCUAGUGUAGCGGUGAAAUGCGUAGAUAUUAGGAGGAACAACAGUGGCGAAGGCGGCUUACUGGACUGUAACUGACGUUGAGGCUCGAAAGCGUGGGGAGCAAACAGGAUUAGAUACCCCUGUAGUC
rnacentral:rRNA from 1 species